rnacentral:rRNA from 1 species
GACGAACGCUGGCGGCGUGCUUAACACAUGCAAGUCGAGCGGAAACGAUGGGAGCUUGCUCCCAGGCGUCGAGCGGCGGACGGGUGAGUAAUACUUAGGAAUCUGCCCAGUAGUGGGGGAUAGCUCGGGGGAAACUCGAAUUAAUACCGCAUACACCCUACGGGGAAAAGGGGGCGCUUGCGCUCUCGCUAAUUGGAUGAGCCUAAGUCGGAUUAGCUAGUUGGUGGGGUAAAGGCCUACCAAGGCGACGAUCUGUAGCUAGUCUGAGAGGAUGAUCAGCCACACCGGGACUGAGACACGGCCCGG